rnacentral:rRNA from 1 species
UACGGAGGAUGCGAGCGUUAUCCGGAUUUAUUGGGUUUAAAGGGUGCGCAGGCGGCACGGCAAGCCGGCGGUCAAAUCGCGGGGCUCAACCCCGCCCAGCCGUCGGAACUGCCGGGCUAGAGUGGGCGAGAAGUGCGCGGAAUGCGUGGUGUAGCGGUGAAAUGCAUAGAUAUCACGCAGAACUCCGAUUGCGGAGGCAGCGCACCGGCGCCCUACUGACGCUCAGGCACGAAAGCGUGGGGAGCAAACAGG